rnacentral:rRNA from 1 species
CCAAGAAGUAAAUCCACUUACACCACCAACGCCAGGAUAUUACGAGCUUCUAGCUUAAAACCCAAAGGACUUGACGGUACCCCACCCUACUAGAGGAGCCUGUUCUAUAAUCGAUAACCCACGAUAUACCAAACCAUUUCUUGCCUCAGCCUGUAUACCUCCGUCGUAAGCUUACCCUGUGAAUGCACAUAGUAGGCUCAAAGGCCUAACACCCAAACGUCAGGUCAAGGUGCAGCCUAUGAAAUGGAAGCUAUGGGCUACAAUUUCUAAUCUUAGAACUAAUCAAAAUACUACAUGAAAUAUAGUUAUAAAGAAGGAUUUAGCAGUAAAUAAGGAAUAGAGAGCCUUAUUGAACCUGAGCUCUGGGGUAUGUACAAACCGCCCGUCACCCUCUUCAAUAGACCAACUUUAGAAGAGGUAAGUCGUAACAUGGUAAGUGUACUGGAAAGUGCACUUAGAUCA